rnacentral:lncRNA from 1 species
GAGAGCCAGAAGGAAAGAGAGGAGGCCGGCCCGGGGACGGAUAGGAGGGUGGGCUCCCUAAGAGUACAUCUGGCCUUCCAGUUUUUCCACUUUGGUGACUUCUACAUCCAUUCUUCCUCAGCCAUGCAUAGAAGUCAUAUUAUGAACUCCUUGAGGAUAGAGCCUGGUCUUUUAACAUCUCUAGCACAGAGCAUACUGCCUAGCACUUUGUUGUGCAGUCCUUCGGUUAUAGUAGACUCUUCACGACCCUAUGGACCCCAGUGCUAUCUAUGCGGUUUUCUUAACAAAGAUACUACAGUGGUUUGUCUUUUUUUUCUCCAGUGGGUUAAGACAAACAGAAAUUAAGUAUCUGGCCUAGAAUCACACAGCAAGGUCCCAUUUGAAUUCAGGUCUUGAAAACUACAGACCCAGUACUCUGUCCACUGAACCA